UUCCAGACUCCUACGGGAGGCAGCAGUGGGGAAUAUUGCACAAUGGGGGAAACCCUGAUGCAGCGACGCCGCGUGAGCGAUGAAGUAUUUCGGUAUGUAAAGCUCUAUCAGCAGGGAAGAAGAUGACGGUACCUGACUAAGAAGCCCCGGCUAACUACGUGCCAGCAGCCGCGGUAAUACGUAGGGGGCAAGCGUUAUCCGGAUUUACUGGGUGUAAAGGGAGCGUAGACGGCGGUGCAAGCCAGAUGUGAAAGCCCGGGGCUCAACCCCGGGACUGCAUUUGGAACUGUAUGGCUGGAGUGUCGGAGAGGCAGGCGGAAUUCCUAGUGUAGCGGUGAAAUGCGUAGAUAUUAGGAGGAACACCAGUGGCGAAGGCGGCCUGCUGGACGAUGACUGACGUUGAGGCUCGAAAGCGUGGGGAGCAAACAGGAUUAGAUACCCGAGUAGU
rnacentral:rRNA from 1 species